rnacentral:lncRNA from 1 species
CUGCGUUUUCGUUUAGGGGGAGCCUUCUGAGCAAUGCCUUUAGCUUUCAUCUCCUCAUUUAUGAAGUUUCUAAGGGUGCGUCUGAUAUAUAUUCGAGCUAGGUCCUGAAGAUUCCUAACAGCACACGGAGGCAGUCCCACAGUAUCAUGUUUGCCAUUGUCAUUUCUGUUUGGUUGCACUAGUGGGGCAAAUGAAACAGCAAGGAUAUUUUUACUUUCCCACGUGUUCUGUCCCGUCCUCAAGAUUUGCGUUAGCUGAUCUUCUAUAGGCAUUACUAAAAUGCCUCCGACUUUCAAUAAAAUUUUCAUGUAGUUUUCAUGGUCUUUCUGGACUCCAGCUCCACAGUAAAUCCGGUCAUACUGAUGACUGUCUGAGGCUAUUUCCAAACAGUUACCAACCACAAAGGCAGGUUCACAGAACUCAAAUUUAUCAAAGCUAUCACUAUAUUUUAUGAAGCUCUCCAAUUUUUCCUUGGCAUAUUCUACCACAUCUGAAUGAAGCUCUAUUCCAUGAUUUAUCCCAAAAGGUCCU